rnacentral:rRNA from 1 species
CUACGGGUCGCAGCAGUGGGGAAUAUUGCACGAUGGGGGGAACCCUGAUGCAGCAACGCCGCGUGGAGGAUGACGCAUUUCGGUGUGUAAACUCCUUUUAUAUGUCAAGAAAAUGACGGUAGCAUAUGAAUAAGCACCGGCUAACUCCGUGCCAGGCAGCCGCGGUAAUACGGAGGGUGCAAGCGUUACUCGGAAUCACUGGGCGUAAAGGACGCGUAGGCGGGUUGGAAAGUCAGGUGUGAAAUCCUACAGCUUAACUGUAGAACUGCACUUGAAACUUCUAAUCUAGAGUAUGGGAGGGGGAGAUGGAAUUAGUGGUGUAGGGGUAAAAUCCGUAGAUAUCACUAGGAAUACCUAAAGCGAAGGCGAUCUCCUGGAACAUUACUGACGCUAAGGCGUGAAAGCGUGGGGAGCAAACAGGAUUAGAUACCCUCGUAGUC